ACUCCUACGGGAGGCAGCAGUGGGGAAUAUUGGACAAUGGGUUACGAACCUCGAUGCCAGCCAUGCGCGUGUGUGAAGAAGGCCUUCGGGUUGUAAAGCACUUUCAGUGGGGAGGAAAGGUUGAUGGUUAAUACCUAUCAGCUGUGACGUUACCCACAGAAGAAGCACCGGCUAACUCCGUGCCAGCAGCCGCGGUAAUACGGAGGGUGCAAGCGUUAAUCGGAAUUACUGGGCGUAAAGCGUGCGCAGGCGGUCUGUUAAGCGAGAUGUGAAAGCCCCGGGCUCAACCUGGGAACUGCAUUUCGAACUGGCAGACUAGAGUCUUGUAGAGGGGGUAGAAUUCCAGGUGUAGCGGUGAAAUGCGUAGAGAUCUGGAGGAAUACCGGUGGCGAAGGCGGCCCCCUGGACAAAGACUGACGCUCAGGCACGAAAGCGUGGGGAGCAAACAGGAUUAGAUA
rnacentral:rRNA from 1 species